rnacentral:rRNA from 1 species
AUUGAACGCUGGCGGCAUGCCUUACACAUGCAAGUCGAACGGCAGCACGGGAGCAAUCCUGGUGGCGAGUGGCGAACGGGUGAGUAAUAUAUCGGAACGUGCCCAGUCGUGGGGGAUAACGUAGCGAAAGCUACGCUAAUACCGCAUACGAUCUAUGGAUGAAAGCGGGGGAUCGCAAGACCUCGCGCGAUUGGAGCGGCCGAUAUCAGAUUAGGUAGUUGGUGAGGUAAAGGCACACCAAGCCGACGAUGUGUAGCUGGUCUGAGAGGACGAGCAGUCACACUGGGACUGAGACACGGCCCAGACUCCUACUGGAGGCAGGAGUGGGGAAUUUUGGACAAUGGGCGCAAGACUGAUCCAGCAAUGCCGCGUGCAGGAUGAAGGCCUUCGGGUUGUAAACUGCUUUUGUACGGAACGAAACGGCGAGCUCUAAUACAGUUUGCUAAUGACGGUACCGUAAGAAUAAGCACCGGCUAACUACGUGCCAGCCGCCGCAGUAA